UACGUAGGGGCCUAGCGUUGUCCGGAAUUAUUGGGCGUAAAGAGCUCGUAGGCGGUUCGGCAAGUCGGAUGUGAAAUCUCCACGCUUAACGUGGAGGGGCCAUUCGAAACUGGCAGGCUUGAGUACUAAAGAGGGUCGCGGAAUUCCCGGUGUAGAGGUGAAAUUCGUAGAUAUCGGGAGGAACACCGGUGGCGAAGGCGGCGACCUGGGUAGAUACUGACGCUGAGGCGCGAAAGCGUGGGGAGCAAACAGG
rnacentral:rRNA from 1 species